GAUGAACGCUGGCGGCGUGCUUAACACAUGCAAGUCGAACGGGAAUUACUUUAUCGAAACUUCGGUCGAUUUAAUUUAAUUCUAGUGGCGGACGGGUGAGUAACGCGUGGGUAACCUGCCUUAUACAGGGGGAUAACAGUCAGAAAUGGCUGCUAAUACCGCAUAAGCGCACAGAGCUGCAUGGCUCAGUGUGAAAAACUCCGGUGGUAUAAGAUGGACCCGCGUUGGAUUAGCUAGUUGGUGGGGUAACGGCCCACCAAGGCGACGAUCCAUAGCCGGCCUAAGAGGGAGAACGACCACAUUAGGACUGAGACACGGCCCAGACUCCUACGGAAGGCAGCAGAGGGGAAUAUUGCAAGAUGGGGGAAACACUGAUGCAUCGGCGCCGCGGGAAGGAAGAAGGAUCUCGGUAUGUAAACGUCUAUCAGCAGGGAAGAUAAUGACGGUACCUGACUAAGAAGCCCCGGCUAACUACGUGCCAGCCGCCGCCGUAA
rnacentral:rRNA from 1 species